rnacentral:misc_RNA from 1 species
GUUAGUCCACAAACACACAUAAUGCUGAGUUGAUAUAGAAAUUUCUCAGUGCAAGGCUAAAGAUGUUACAGAUUUAGAAUUAGAAUAAGAAAAUAAAAAUGGUUAGAUUUAAAACAAAUGAAUACAGCUUUCAAUGAUACUAAAAUGGUCUCUAAAAUUACGACUACCGGAUGGUCAACAUAUCGUAUGCAAGCCGUUUCAUGAGGUAGGGCCUUUAUAAUUUCACUUGCCUGUUACCUAGCAGCUUGUGUAGCCUGAUAAUCAAGUCGGCUUCAUCUUCUGUAAACAUUCCGCUCUUAAUGUCUGGUUUUAGAUAGUUGAACCAUCUCAGUCUACAACUUUUCCUGCAUCUAUGUAAUCCUGGAAUUCCAAGACAUUAAUUAUCUCUUCAUUGACCACCCACAGGCCACAUGCAUGUAUAUUAUAAUUUAAUUACCUGCUCUUAAAGGAACUAGAUGCCAUCUGCCUU